rnacentral:lncRNA from 1 species
GCAGUCCUUGAUUAAAGAUCAAGUCAUCUAGAGCCAUGCUCCUCUCUACCCUCCUUUCGAUCGCGUUCUAACUGAUCUGACAUUAACAACAUGCAUGCACACACCAACUCUUGCCAUCUGACUGUUAUCGCUCUUCUCUACUCCACUUGGAUGGGACUCCACCUAUGGGCUCAAUAACAUAUACAGAUGACAAGGACGAGUGCCACCAUGGACUAAUUGAAAGUUUUAACAAGUUUGAGGUCGAAGUAUUUCUCGUCCAAAUUUAAAGGGGUGUCUCCAUAAUUUUUUAUAAAAUCUACCUUGGCA